rnacentral:rRNA from 1 species
AUUGAACGCUGGCGGCAGGCCUAACACAUGCAAGUCGAACGGUAACAGGAAGCAGCUUGCUGCUUUGCUGACGAGUGGCGGGCGGGUGAGAAAUGUCUGGGAAACUGCCUGAUGGAGGGGGAUAACUACUGGAAACGGUAGCUAAUACCGCAUAACGUCUCAAGACCAAAGAGGGGGACCUUAGGGCCUCUUUCCAUCGGAUGUGCCCAGAUGGGAUUAGCUAGUAGGUGGGGUAACGGCUCACCUAGGCGACGAUCCGUAGCUGGUCUGAGAGGAUGAUCAGCCACACUGGAACUGAGACACGGUCCAGACUCCUACGGGAGGCAGCAGUAGGGAAUAUUGCACAAUGGGCGAAAGCCUGAUGCAGCAAUGCCGCGUGUAUGAAGAAGGCCUUCGGGUUGUAAAGUACUUUUAGCGGGGAGGAAGGGAGUAAUGUUAAUACCUUCACUCAUUGACGUUACCCGCAGAAGAAGCACCGGCUAACUCCGUG